GCCGAGCUUGGUAACGCUAGCUUGUAACCUGUGUGGGGGCUUUAAGGUGAUGGAACAUGGGGCUGGCUUGCAGAGUCGGAUCCUGAGUUGGUCCAAAUCUGGCUUUGCCCGUUCCAAGCUAAGAGCUGAACGGAGGGGCUUGAGUGUAAACUUUGAGCCUCGUGGUUCCUAGAGUGGAGGGUACUGCGUGAGGCUGGUUUCACAGAGCAGCGAAGACCUCCCUCUCUUAGCAGUGGAAGGAUAACAGGCUUGAUCCUCUCUAAUCCAACAUGUCUCAGUGAGCUGAUCCUAACUGGACCAUCACCAUU
rnacentral:SRP_RNA from 1 species